rnacentral:rRNA from 1 species
GACGAACGCUGGCGGCGUGCCUAACACAUGCAAGUCGUGCGAGAAAGCCCCUUCGGGGGUGAGUACAGCGGCGGACGGGUGAGUAACACGUGAGUGAUCUACCCGGCGCGGGGGACAACCCAGGGAAACCUGGGCUAAUACCGCAUACAGCGGAGGGAGUAGGUGCCCUUCGUGAAAGCUGGCCUCUCCAUGGAAGCUAGCGUCGCCGGAGGAGCUCGCGGCCUAUCAGCUUGUUGGUGGGUAACGGCCUACCAAGGUUAUGACGGGUAGCUGACGUGAGAGCGUGAGCAGCCACACUGGGACUGAGACACGGCCCAGACUCCUACGGGAGGCAGCAGUGGGGAAUAUUGCGCAAUGGGCGAAAGCCUGACGCAGCGACGCCGCGUGGGGAGGAAGGCCUUAGGGUUGUAAACCCCUGUCAGGUGGGACGAACCCCGGGUCGGUUAAUAAUCGGCUCGACUGACGGUACCACCAGAGGAAGCUCCGGCUAACUCCGUG